rnacentral:rRNA from 1 species
UGGCUCAGAACGAACGCUGGCGGCAGGCCUAACACAUGCAAGUCGAACGGCAGCACAGCAGUAGCAAUACUGGUGGGUGGCGAGUGGCGGACGGGUGAGGAAUACAUCGGAAUCUACCUUGUCGUGGGGGGUAACGUAGGGAAACUUACGCUAAUACCGCAUACGAACUAUGGUUGAAAGCGGCGGGCCGCAAGGCGUCGCGCGAUUGGAUGAGCCGAUGUCCGAUUAGCUAGUUGGCGGGUAAAGGCCCACCAAGGCGGCGAUCGGUAGCUGGUCUGAGAGGAUGAUCAGCCACACUGGAACUGAGACACGGUCCAGACUCCUACGGGAGGCAGCAGUGGGGAAUAUUGGACAAUGGGCGCAAGCCUGAUCCAGCCAUGCCGCGUGUGUGAAGAAGGCCUUCGGGUUGUAAAGCACUUUUGUUGGGAAGAAAAGCACUGGGUUAAUACCCUGGUGUCGUGACGGUACCCAAAGAAUAAGCACCGGCUAACUUCGUG